GGUAAAUGUUCCAUGAUAAUGGAUUAGGUAAAUAUUCCAUGAUAAUGGGUUAGGUAAAUGUUUCAUGAUAAUGGUUUAGGUAAAUGUUUCAUGAUAAGAAAUUCAUGUCUUUUGUAUUAAAGAAUUAAAUGGAUGAAAUAUGAAGUUUUAUUAAAAGAAAAAGGGGUGAAAAGAACAAAGUUUUGUCCAUCUUUGUUCAUCCUAGCCUAAAGUUAGAGAAGAGAAAGGAGAGGAGAAAGCUCUUAAAUGUUCGGUCACUUGGGGAAGAAAAUUGAAGGAAAUCCCCAACCAUAGUGGGCUUGGAGCUAUGAGGGAAUUCGGAGUGGCCACCCGUUCUGAAAGUUUGAUUUUCUUCUGGUGAACUGGACAUCCUUUUAAUUACGUUUGAGGUUUUGGGCUUUUAAAUGUAAUAAGGCCGCUUAUUUAUUUUUGAUGGUUUUUAAUAUGUAUUACUAAGAUAGGUAAUACUUAUUUUAACUGUUGAAAUUAGAUAGCUUUAGGGCGCGUUUUCAAAAACAA